AAAAAAAAUGGUGUAUAUGAUAGACACUUAGCACAGUUCAUGACAUUUAUUGAGGAAACAUUGCACCACCAGUGGCUUCUUUAGAGGUCACUUGUGAAAUAUUUCUUCAAUAAAUAUCGAACUGUGUGUGGGUCUUCAUCUACAUGCUGUCAGUAUUGCCAUAUCUGUUCUCCACCUGACAGUGUAUAUUGUUUAGUAGACCUCUGGCUUUAGGUUCAGUGUUCUCUCCCCCCUCCCUCCCCUUUUUCCCUAAGAAACUUAGCAGAUACUUUGAAGUGUCCUUAUGUGCUAGUCAAUAUCUUCGAUAACUAUUUAUUCUAAAACUGCUGUAUUGUAAUGAGAAAAAUUAAGUGUUUGAAACAUGCUAUCAAACUAUGUCUUAGAACAAAAAUUUCUGUUCUGUUUUAGAGUAACAGUAUGCAAGAACAUUUUUCAUAAUUGUCAAAUGAUCUGCUCCAUGACAUUCUGAAACCACCACCUUAAAGUUAGAAUCCAAAGAAUAUGUUUUGUUCUUCCUGCUUGUUGUGCAUAUGCAGUCAAACAACAACACUCUAGUGCUUCAGGUCUUCAAGCAUUACUUAACAUCCACUUUUUGAGGACACAUUAAAAAUAUCUGUACUGUACAUGAAAAAUAAGAAAAUUACCAAAUGAUAAAAUGUUCUUCGUUAAUGCUUAUGUAAACUGUCCUUUAGCAAAUUUCGCUUUAGAGUACAGUAUCUAUUUGCAGUAGACAUUGAACAUAUGAGUCAGCACUGAGUGACCCAUGUGAGUUUAGCACUGUUUUUGAGUAAAUAAUGAUGAAAGCAUCAAAGCAUUAUGAUAAGUUGAAGGGCAUUAUGAAACUAGUGACUAGAAUAUUGAGACUGGCAUGCAGGUACCUAUAUCGAAGCUCUUCUCUGAAUUUUUAAUUUUCAUCACCAACUACAUAGUAACAAUAGUAUAUGAUUUCUUCACUAGAAGUGAUGUGAAGUUACUUAUAAUGGAUACACACUUCCAGUGUUUUUUUUUUUUUUUUUUUUUUUUUUUUUUUGUCAACCGAUUUGUCAUUAUUCUUAUCCCAGCCACCAGGGAAGGUUCCUUGAUGCUUGUCAUGGAGUCUUGAGCCAAGAAAUUGGAGCUAGCCUCAAAUCUGAUUUCCUCAUAUUUUCCAGACAAUAUGACCAUUACAUGUUAAGUGCUUCCCUUUGGAUAUAGUAAAAAUAAUACUCUUUUCAAAUGUGUCACAUUCUGCAGUAUCAUAUUUUUUAAUGCCUCUCGCCUUUGAUCUCUGCUUCGAGAUGGAAUUGCAAAAUCGUAAUCAGUACUAUACCUGUAUCUUGAGCAACAAUGCUUCCAGCCCAUAAUUCAUGCGAAGUGUUAUUGAAUAUAGAAGUAUGUACUAACCUCAUCUUUUGAUUGUGCCAUAAUGUCUAUUAUUUUUUAAUAUUGAAUGAUUAUGAAACUUCAUAGAAACCUUUUUUUAAACUGUAGAAAGCUAUUUUUUUAAUGGUGGCCAUCUCCCACUAAAUAAAAAAGUAAACUUAUUCAAUAGCUCUCUUGCCAGAAGUGCAUAGACAUCAUAAUUCAAAUGACCCUCUAAAUUGCAGCAUCCCUACCCCUUCUUCAGAGUGCAGGCACUGCAUUUAUCACCUCCAGGGCUCAGGUCUGGCUAACUGGUUUUCCAGACUUCAUAAAUGUUACUCUGCUCACACUCCAGCAUCCCAUCAAGCCAUAAGUCAAUUAUCUUUACUCAAUCUGAUUUAACACGCUCACAACAAGUAUGCACCCCAACCCUUAGACAUGAGAGUUUUUAGUAUUUAAUACCUAGAUAAGGAAUGUACAGUUAGGUGACAUAUACUAUUAUGUAACAUCUCAACAUUUUCACUUUCAGGUUUCUUACGUUUAUCUUAAUUUACAUUGAUUCCUAGGGUCACCUCCCCCUCAACUCAAGUCGUAGGCCUGGCCCGUGUCUUGUAGCUUGAUUGCUAGCGCACUCAGCUUUCACAGUGAGGUUCAGGGGUUGAUCCCAGUAUGGGUAGAAACAUUAGGACGUGUUUCCUCAAGGUACCUGCUGUCUAUGUUUACCUUUCAGUAAAAUAGAUUCCUGGGUGUUAGUUGACUGGUGUGGGUUGCAUCCUGGGGACAAAAUUGACCUAGUUUGCUCUGCAUAACAAGAAGUUUUCUAUACAGAAUGCCACUGAUAUAAGCUAUGCCUGUGUACCUUGUACAUGUACUUGUAGAAAUAAAGAUUAUUAUUAUUAAUUUUUACAUUUUGCAUUCAGCUUAUAUACAAUCAGUGACUUAAAAAAUAUAGUACUUAAGAAGUUAUUUUUUGGGGGCUUUAUAUCUUACACAGUUGUUCUGGUAUCAUUACACUCCAUCAUAAGGUGAGUUAUACUUACUGCGCUUCAUUUUCUUAAGUCUACCUUAUUUAUUGAAUUUCUCUUCUCUUAAGCACUUAGGCAUGAGUAGGUCCAGCACUACCACUGGCAUUGUACAUACUCAUAUCUGGUAAAAAGCUUUCUGUCAUGAUAUUUACAUAUGUAUUUCACUUACCGCUGUCACUAGUAUGAACUGUAAGUGUUGAUAUAUAGUAAUAUCUAAGUAGACACUUUAGUUUAUUAACCCUUUCAGGGUUUUCGACGUACUAGUACAGCUUACGCACCAGGGUUAUUGACGUACUAGUACGCCUAAAUUCUAGUGCCUUCAAAUCUAGCGAGAAAAAACUGGUAGGCCUACAUAUGAAAGAAUGGGUCUAUGUGGUCAGUGUGCGUAGUAUAAAAAUAAUCCUGUAGCACACAGUGCGUAAUGAGAAAAAAAAAAACUUUGACCGUAUUUUUGGACUAAAACAGCGACUUUGCACUGUAUUUUCGUAUGGUAUUUAUGGUAUUUUGACUGGUUUCACAAUGAAAAGUACCUUGAAAUUGAGCUCAAAGUAGCAGAAAUGUUCGAUUUUGACCAAAGUUCAAAAGUAAACAAAUCAUGCCAAGCGUCCAAUACAUGUCACCUGGUGAGUCUAAUAUUCUUACCCAAGUGCGCUGAUAUUAUUUGUACCAUUUCUACACUAAUGCAGUAGUCUGCAUAACAGUAAAUCUUCUAUUUUUUGUAAGAAUAAAAAUUCAAAGUGGAAAGCAAAAGAAAUAUAAGAGGGGCCUGGGGAUGUGACUAAUGAACAGAAAACUUGUUAUUUUAGUGCCAGGAAUGUCUUUCUUGUUUAUUCUGGACCCUAUUUGGAAAUUGGCAUCUUCUGAAAUUUGUGUGAAAUUGGCAAAAUUGCCAAUUUCUAACCACUUUACAGUAUUGGAUAGUUGAAAUUGGUAAAUGGGUGGUUUCCUUGUACUUAUUCGAUAGAAAAAAAUGGAGUUCUAGCGAAAUAAAUAUGAUUUUUGUCAACUAGUAUACAGGAAUUGGCCAAAAAUAAGGGCUCAAAGUGGGCGGAAUCGCGGAUGCGUAAACAUUGGCGAGACCGCUAACUUCGCGAGAGCAUAAUUCCGUAAGUUUUCCAUCAAAUUUCAUACUUUUGGUGUCAUUAUGAUUGGGAAAAGAUUCUCUAUCAUUUCAUAAGAUUUUUUUUUUUUUUUUUUCCGAAAAUUUUUCGACCCUGAGAACAAGUUUAGGAGAGGGCCUCUCGACCCUGAAGGGUUAAGUUCAAAAUCGAUGUGUAAAACAAUUUUAAAAAUAAUAUGUUUUCAUGUGUAAACAAAACCCAGCUGAGUAGUGUGGAUGGGUGAUGGGGAGCAUGGGAGCAAUGGUAAUUAACCAAGGUGCCAAGAUUAUAAAAUAUUAGUAUGCAUUACUUCUACUCUUUAUCCUAAAACUGAGUUGUGCACUACUAUGUCACUAGUGGGUGAAUGGCCAUUCAGAAAACAAUAACUAAGCACCACAAACCAAAUAAGAAUAAGCACUUUCAGUUCUUUCAUGUAUGGAAUAAUGAUAUUUGUUUUAUACUGUAUUAUAUUAUAAUCCACUGUCAUCGGGCAUGUCAUACAGUUGUAAGUUGAAUCUUUUUCAGUAAGGUUUUGAUAAAACUGUUUUUAUAUGCAGUGGUGCUUGAAGAUCAUUUGUACAAGAUGUUUCUCUUAGAACUGCUCAACAGUUGUGAUAGAAAGUCUUCCCUCAAAUAUGUAUGGUACAGUAUUAUAUCACAGGUAACAAGUGUAUGUUACAUUCACUAUUGCUAGAUCAUUUCUAGAUAGUUAAAGUAUUUUUUGCUCUCUGAAAAGGCUGUUAACAUACUGUACAGUAUUUUUUUUUUUUUCUUAUAGCUGAUAUUAAUUUUUUAAAAUAGUAUAGUGAUAUUUUUAACACCAGAUAUCUCCCACCAAAUUAGUGUUACCUGAAAUAGAAGAAACUCUUUCAGUGUCAUUCAUACACUCAGUCUUCCCAGAAGGGUGCUGACAUCACAGCUCAGAUGACCUAAACUGCAACCACCCCUCCUUCAGAGUGCAAUGCACUGUCCUUCCCACCACCACCUCUCCUUCAGAUUGCAGACACUGUACUUCCCAUUUCCAGGACUCAAAUCCAGGUAACCAGUUUCACCUGAAUCCUUUCAUAAAUGUUACCCUUGCUCACACUCCAACAGCAUGUCAAAUCAUAAUAAUCAUUUGUCUCUACUUACUCUUAUCUAACCUAAGCCUAUGUGUACUUGCCUAUUUGCAGGAAUAAAUUCUCAGGUCCUGGCCCUGCCUCUUAAAUUGUGUAUAUGUACCCAGGUAUGAUUGGAGGGUAGGAGUAAAGGAGGCUUUGACUCUUAGAGGCAUGAGCACCCAGCAGACUUCUAUGAAUGUGUGUGAUAGGAUUAUUAUUAUUAUAGUAAUCAUAACUCACAAGGUAAUAUGGCAUGAGUGUGAUUGGAGACAAGUGUUUUGUAAUGGACAUGCUCUUAGUGUGAGCAAGGUAACCUAUAAAGGUAUUCAGGAAUAAAAAGAGCUGAACUUUAGUCCUGGAGAAGGUAUAUUACAGUAAAAAUGUCUUAUGUGAUUUCCUAUUGUGAAGCUUUAUAUUUUAUAUAAGAAUUGCCAUUAAAUUUACUCCUACAA